UGGGGAAUAUUGGACAAUGGGCGCAAGCCUGAUCCAGCCAUGCCGCGUGAGUGAUGAAGGCCCUAGGGUUGUAAAGCUCUUUCACCGGUGAAGAUAAUGACGGUAACCGGAGAAGAAGCCCCGGCUAACUUCGUGCCAGCAGCCGCGGUACUACGAAGGGGGCUAGCGUUGUUCGGAUUUACUGGGCGUAAAGCGCACGUAGGCGGACUAUUAAGUCAGGGGUGAAAUCCCGGGGCUCAACCCCAGACCUGCCUUUGAUACUGGUAGUCUUGAGUGCGAGAGAGGUGAGUGGACUUCCGAGUGUAGUGGUGAAAUUCGUAGAUAUUCUGUGGAACACCAGUGGCGAAUGCGGCUCGCUGGCUCGAUACUGACGCUGAGGUGCGAAAGCGUGGGCAGCAAACAGU
rnacentral:rRNA from 1 species